AGGUUGGUUAAUCAAUGAUGGAAACGGAGAAGCACAUAGUCUCGAAAUGUGAAUCCGAGGGUUCGAAUCCCUACCAACUCG
rnacentral:tRNA from 1 species